rnacentral:rRNA from 1 species
CCUACGGGAGGCAGCAGUGGGGAAUCUUGGACAAUGGGCGCAAGCCUGAUCCAGCAAUGCCGCGUGGGUGAAGAAGGCCUUCGGGUUGUAAAG